CACGUAGUUAGCCGGGGGCUUCCUUGGGAGGUACCGUCGCUACCUUCUUCCCUCCCGACAGGGCUUUACGGCCCAAAGGCCUUCUUCGCCCACGCGGCGUCGCUGCAUCAGGCUUUCGCCCAUUGUGCAAGAUUCCCCACUGCUGCCUCCCGUAGGAGUUUGGACCGUGUCUCAGUUCCAAUGUGGCCGUCCACCCUCUCAGGUCGGCUACCGAUCGUCGCCUUGGUGGGCCGUCACCCCGCCAACUAACUAAUCGGACGCAGGCCCAUCCCUCGCCGUUCCCUUUGGCCCCUCGAGCAUGCGCUCCAAAGGCUUCAUGGGGUACUUAAUCCCGGUUUCCCGAGGCUGUUCCCCCAGCGUACGGGGCAGGGUUGCCGUACGCGUUACUCACCCGUCCGCCGCUUUCCGCCACUCGUCUUCCGCCGAAACUUCCGUCGGUGCUUCUGCUCGACUUGCAUGUGUAGGCGCGCCGCCAGCGUCAUUCC
rnacentral:rRNA from 1 species